GCAUCGGUAGCUCAGCGGCAGAGCGGUGGGGCGUUAGGGUCAACGCAUGCAUGGGUAUGCAGCCCGGGUUCGAGCCCCGGUUGAUGCG